rnacentral:tRNA from 1 species
GGUAUAGUGUAGUGGUCAGCACGCGAGAUUCUGAAGUCAGAAGUAAUGUUCUGUCAAGAAUUCUCGAGACCCCGGUUCGAGCCCGGGUACGACCU